AUUGAACGCUGGCGGCAGGCUUAACACAUGCAAGUCGAGCGGGGAAAGGUAGCUUGCUACCUGACCUAGCGGCGGACGGGUGAGUAAUGCUUAGGAAUCUGCCUAUUAGUGGGGGACAACAUCUCGAAAGGGAUGCUAAUACCGCAUACGUCCUACGGGAGAAAGCAGGGGACCUUCGGGCCUUGCGCUAAUAGAUGAGCCUAAGUCGGAUUAGCUAGUUGGUGGGGUAAAGGCCUACCAAGGCGACGAUCUGUAGCGGGUCUGAGAGGAUGAUCCACCACACUGGGACUGAGACACGGCCCAGACUCCUACGGGAGGCAGCAGUGGGGAAUAUUGGACAAUGGGGGGAACCCUGAUCCAGCCAUGCCGCGUGUGUGAAGAAGGCCUUUUGGUUGUAAAGCACUUUAAGCGAGGAGGAGGCUACCGAGAUUAAUACUCUUGGAUAGUGGACGUUACUCGCAGAAUAAGCACCGGCUAACUCUGUG
rnacentral:rRNA from 1 species